rnacentral:tRNA from 1 species
GAUCGUGUGGGGCGCGGACGUCGUGGCCCUGCACGGGCUGGCCGACGUGUGGCGGCUGCUGACGGCCGUUCCGGCCGCCCGCGCGAUCG